rnacentral:rRNA from 1 species
AAGAAUUUUUUUUUGUUAAAAUUAAUUUUUGGUUUAAGGGUUUUUAAAUGAAAUAAUUAUAUAUAGAUAUAUUAAUUGAAUUUUUAGUUUUAAUGAUUUAUAUUAUUAAAUUUAUUUAAUCAUAGUUAUUUAUUUAAGUUUUUAACAAAAUUGUGCCAGCAUUAGCGGUUAUACAAUUAAGGCAAUGAAAUUUUUUUAAUUUUUUUAUUUUUUAUUAUAAUUAUUUUAUGUGAAAUUAAACUAGUUUAAUUUAUUAACUUUUUAAGGUGAAUUAUGAAAAUAGGAUUAGAUACCCUAGUAUUUUUACAUAUGUUGUUUAUUUUGGAUUAAAUGAUUAAUCAUUAAAUAAAAAAAUAAUUGGUAGUGUUUUAUAUUAAUUAGGGGAAUCUGUUCAUUAAUUUGAUAAUCCACGUUAGGUUUAAUUUUUUAAUUAUAUUUAUAUAUUUCUGUAGUUGUUAAUUUUUAUAAAUUUUGACAUUAUUAUAUGUAAAUUCAAGUCAAUAUAUAGUUUUAGAAAAAUGAUUUGGAUUACAUUAUUUAAAUUGAAGUUAGAAAUUUAAUUUAUUCUUAUUAAAAGGACUUAAAAGUAAAAUUUUUUAAUUUUUAAAUUUUAAUAAAUAAUAGAAUAUAUUCAAAUUGCCCGUCAUUUUAUUUUAUAAGUAAACAAGUCGUAACAAGGUAAAUUUAUUGGAAAAUGAAUUUAAUUAGUGAUAUAAAGUUUAUUACUAGAUU